rnacentral:lncRNA from 10 species
AGAAAACUGAGACAUGGAGAGAUUACUUCUCUACAGGUCUUUGAUUGGAAACAGAAUGAGCAAGACAAAGGAGAUCAGGAUGUGAUCUAUAAGAUUGGAAGAGAGUGACCUGGAAAGGGGAGUCAACCAGUGCCAGCAAGAUGGUGUGGCCAUGUGCCUAAAUUUUGACCCAAGAGAUUCAAAGGAAAUCAACGUACUCACAUUCUGAAACUUUUAAAAAAGUACAUUGCUUAUCUUCUGGUAUGCCUCCCUUUUUUUUUUUUUUUUUUCAUGGACUGGAUCAUGGAAUUAAUUGAGAGGCUGGAUAUUUCUUUGCCCAUCUAGACCCACUCUCCCCUAUUCAGUUGUUCUGUGCUCUCAGAAACAGGCUGUUAUGGACUCUCAGGUGCUCUGGCUUCAAAUUGGUUCAGUCAGUGGAAGAUUGGUACAUGCAAAGAAUGAUGUAUUUUUAUGGGUUCUCCUGUUUUCGAGGCUAUGUUCUCUUGUUCAAGACCGUAUUUCCUGGAGAACUGUGUCUAGUCCUGCAGCUGCGGCUAUUCUUCUUGGAUUUUUGGAUUCCAAAUAUUUUUUCCUUUUAAGUUCUAGGCAUGAUAAUGAUUUUAUUGUUUUGAGGUUCAUUUAACUCUCUCUAUAUCUUUAUAAACGGCUCCUUUAUUAAACUCUUUUCAUUUGUUCAGUUGAGUGCCUCCACCCCUUCUG